UACGUAGGUGGCAAGCGUUGUUCGGAAUUAUUGGGCGUAAAGGGCGUGUAGGCGGGAUAUUAAGUCUUGUGUUUAAGAGCGGAGCUUAACUCCGUGUUGGCAUAAGAAACUAAUAUUCUUGAGUUAAGGAGAGGAAAGCGGAAUUCCCAGUGUAGCGGUGAAAUGCGUAGAGAUUGGGAGGAACACCAGUGGCGAAGGCGGCUUUCUGGACUUAAACUGACGCUGAGGCGCGAAAGCCAGGGGAGCGAACGGG
rnacentral:rRNA from 1 species